UUGAACGCUGGCGGCAUGCUUUACACAUGCAAGUCGAACGGUAACAGGUUAAGCUGACGAGUGGCGAACGGGUGAGUAAUGCAUCGGAACGUGCCCGAUCGUGGGGGAUAACGCAGCGAAAGCUGCGCUAAUACCGUAUACGAUCUGAGGAUGAAAGCGGGGGACCGUAAGGCCUCGCGCGAUCGGAGCGGCCGAUGUCAGAUUAGGUAGUUGGUGGGGUAAAGGCUCACCAAGCCGACGAUCUGUAGCUGGUCUGAGAGGACGACCAGCCACACUGGGACUGAGACACGGCCCAGACUCCUACGGGAGGCAGCAGUGGGGAAUUUUGGACAAUGGGCGCAAGCCUGAUCCAGCAAUGCCGCGUGCAGGAAGAAGGCCUUCGGGUUGUAAAGCUCUUUCGGCCGGGAAGAAAUCGUAUCAGCUAAUACCUGGUGCGGAUGACGGUACCGGCAUAAGAAGCACCGGCUAACUACGU
rnacentral:rRNA from 1 species